rnacentral:RNase_P_RNA from 1 species
CGAGUUGGCUGGGCGGCCGCGGCUCGCAUGGCGGGUCGAGGAAAGUCCGGACUUCACAGAGCAGGGUGAUUGCUAACGGCAAUCCGAGGUGACUCGCGGGAAAGUGCCACAGAAAAUAGACCGCCACCUUCACUGGUGGUAAGGGUGAAACGGUGCGGUAAGAGCGCACCAGCGUUCCGGGUGACUGGAAUGGCUAGGCAAACCCCACCCGAAGCAAGGUCAAGAAGACCACACCGCGGUGUGGUCGCGCAGGCGUUAGAGGGCUGCUCGCCCGAGCCUGUGGGUAGGCCGCUUGAGGCACCCGGUGACGGUGUGUCCAGAUGGAUGGUCGCCACCGCGCCACCAGUAAUGAUGGUGCGGGACAGAAUCCGGCUUACAGGCCAACUCGUCCG